ACCCAACUCGUCUCACUCCACCGAGCUCACUCACAAUGGCUACUAGUACCAAGCUUUGUUGUCGAUGUGAGCAUUGGGUUUGCCGAUGCUGCAAGGAUGCUCGCUAGCACCUCCAGUGCUUCGGGUGGUGGAGGUGGCGGGGGAGGUGGAGGCGGUGGCGGUGGGUCUGGUGGGAGUGGAUGGGGUGGAGGGUCUAGAUCAGGUGGAGGCUCAGGAUAUAGUGAAAGCGGAGGGGAUUGGGGAGGAGGAGCUGGGGGUGGCGGAGGAUCAAAUGGUGGAUACGGGUCUGGCUCUGGAUCCGGAUCCGGCACCGGCAGCGGUGCGAGUGGCUCCGCAUCAGCUCCUAGUGGCAAUGGAUAUGCCAAUGCUGAUGGUAAGGGUGGGGGUGGGGGUGAAGGUGGCGGUGCAGAUGGGUCUACCGGAUCCGGAGCUGGCUUUGGCCUUGGCAAGGGAUAUGGUGAGAGUGGCAUAUCAAAGGCACCCGCUCCUGCUGGUGGUGGUGAUGGUACCAGCUACUCUGAUGUUGGUGGUAGUGGUAACGGUGGUGGUGGCGGUAACAAUGGAAAUGGUGGUGGUGCCGGUGCUGGUGCAGGACAGGCUGGCAACGAUGAUACUUCUGGGGGCUUUGCGAAUGGAGGAGGAAGCGGCAACGGUGGUGGCACAGCUGGAGGCGGCGCCGAAGGUCCAAGCGUUGGAGUCGGGUCUGGCACUGGGUCUGGCGCGGGACAAACCGGUAGUACUGGCUCAAAUGGCACAGGUUAUGCCACCGGAAUGGGUGGCGGCAUGGGUGGUGGCAAUGGUGGUAGCAUUAAUGGAGGAAGCGGUAGUGGUGGAGGCAGUGGAUCCGGAUCUGGAGGUGGCGGGUACAACUAA
rnacentral:rRNA from 1 species